AUUUCAGAUACUAGCAACUAGAGGGGAGUAACAGACGUCUGUCCAAAGGCCUACUCCUGCAUUGACAAGCAGGGUGUAAGAGUUAAAGACAGAGGAAGGGUGUUACAUGCAGAAACAGCACAGUCAGCUCUGACAGUCAUCUUGAAACUGGUCAUGCAGUGUUCUGACCAGUGUCAUCUGGAUUGUUUUAGGUACAGUUAAUCUUCAGUUCCAGGGCAGAUGGCAAAGAGUCAGACAUGACUUAACGACUGAACAACAAAAACAGCAAGGCAGAUGGGCAAGAGAAGGAUCUUAGUCAACUCAGACUGCCAUAAUAAAUGCCACAGACUGCAUGGCUUACACAAUAGGAAUUUAUUUCCCUCGGUUUUGGCAGUGGGAAGUCCAAGAUGAACGUGUCAGCAAGGUUCUCCCAAUAGAAGAAACACAAACUCAUCUGGAAGCCAAAAGGCCCAUUCAUCAGCCCACUGAUGUGCUCCAUACAGAUGAGUUUCUCUGAACAGAGAGCAAGGAAAAGGGUAGAGAAUAGAUC
ensembl:lncRNA